UUGGUUAAGUUAGAAAGGGCGCACGGUGGAUGCCUUGGCACUAGGAGCCGAAGAAGGACGGGACUAACACCGAUAUGCUUUGGGGAGCUGUACGUAAGCGUUGAUCCAGAGAUUUCCGAAUGGGGGAACCCACUAUCUUUAGUCGGAUAGUAUCCUUACGUGAAUACAUAGCGUGAGGAAGGCAGACCCAGGGAACUGAAACAUCUAAGUACCUGGAGGAAGAGAAAGAAAAAUCGAUUUCCUGAGUAGCGGCGAGCGAAACGGAAAGAGCCCAAACCAAGAAGCUUGCUUCUUGGGGUUGUAGGACACUCUAUACGGAGUUACAAAAGAAAGUUAUAAAUGAAGCGGUCUGGAAAGGCCCGCCAAAGACGGUAACAGCCCGGUAGUUGAAAUGGCUUUCCCUCCAGAGUGGAUCCUGAGUACGGCGGAACACGUGAAAUUCCGUCGGAAUCCGGGAGGACCAUCUCCCAAGGCUAAAUACUCCCUAGUGACCGAUAGUGAACCAGUACCGUGAGGGAAAGGUGAAAAGCACCCCGGAAGGGGAGUGAAACAGUUCCUGAAACCGUGUGCCUACAAGUAGUUAGAGCCCGUUAAUGGGUGAUAGCGUGCCUUUUGUAGAAUGAACCGGCGAGUUACGAUUUGUUGCAAGGUUAAGCGGAAAAAGCGGAGCCGUAGCGAAAGCGAGUCUGAAUAGGGCGCAUAAGUAACAGGUCGUAGACCCGAAACCAGGUGAUCUACCCAUGUCCAGGAUGAAGGUAAGGUAAUACUUACUGGAGGUCCGAACCCACGCACGUUGAAAAGUGCGGGGAUGAGGUGUGGGUAGCGGAGAAAUUCCAAUCGAACUUGGAGAUAGCUGGUUCUCUCCGAAAUAGCUUUAGGGCUAGCCUCGAGGUAA
rnacentral:rRNA from 1 species